AGCAGCCGCGGUAAUUCCAGCUCCAAUAGCGUAUAUUAAAGUUGUUGCAGUUAAAAAGCUCGUAGUUGAAUUUCGGGAUCAAUAUGUUGGUCGUGCCUCGGUACGUACUAGCUUAUUGGUUUCUCCUUUCUGAAGAACCAUGAUGUCAUUUAUUUGGUGUCGUGGGGAAUCAGGACUGUUACUUUGAAAAAAUUAGAGUGUUUAAAGCAGGCUCACGCUUGAAUACAUUAGCAUGGAAUAAUGAAAUAGGACGUUUGAUUCUAUUUUGUUGGUUUCUAGGAUCGACGUAAUGAUUAAUAGGGAUAGUUGGGGGCAUUAGUAUUCAAUUGUCAGAGGUGAAAUUCUUGGAUUUAUUGAAGACUAACUACUGCGAAAGCAUUUGCCAAGGAUGUUUUCAUUAAUCAAGAACGAAAGUUAGGGGAUCGAAGACGAUCAGAUACCGUCGUAGUCUUAACCAUAAACUGUGCCGACUAGGGAUCGGAUGAUGUUAAUUUUUAAUGACUCAUUCGGCG
rnacentral:rRNA from 1 species